rnacentral:rRNA from 1 species
CCUACGGGAGGCUGCAGUGGGGAAUAUUGGGCAAUGGACGCAAGUCUGACCCAGCAACGUCGCGUGAAGGAAGAAGGCUUUCGGGUUGUAAACUUCCUUUAAGUGGGAAGUGCAGAAGACCUUACCCCUUCAAUAUGCCACGUCUCACUACGUGCCAGCAGCCGCGAUACUAUGUAGGGGGCCGGCGUUGUCCGGAUUUACUGGGUGUAAGGGGCGUGCAGCCGGGGAGACAGGUCAGUUGUGAAAGCCACGGGCUCAACCCGUGAACUGCAGUUGAAACUGUUUCCCUUGAGUGUCGGAGGGGAAAUCGGAAUUCAUAGUGUAGCGGGGAAAUGCGUAGAUAUUAGGAAGAACACCAGUGGCGAAGGCGGGUUACUGGACGAUAACUGACGGUGAGGCGCGAAAGCGUGGGGAGCAAACAGGAUUAGAUACCCCUGUAGUC